rnacentral:rRNA from 1 species
GACGUAGGGGGCGAGCGUUGUCCGGAUUUAUUGGGCGUAAAGAGCGUGUAGGCGGCCAGGUAGGUCUGCUGUGAAAACUCGAGGCUCAACCUCGAGACGUCGGCGGAAACCAUCUGGCUAGAGUCCGGAAGAGGAGAGUGGAAUUCCUGGUGUAGCGGUGAAAUGCGCAGAUAUCAGGAAGAACACCCGUGGCUAAGGCGGCUCUCUAGUACGGUACUGACGCUGAGACGCGAAAGCGUGGGGAGCGAACAGG